ACACAGCUUUGAGAAGAGACUUAACUAUCACACCAGUGCUAUUCAAGGGAACAGACUUGGUGCCAGGCUAGCCCACCAGAUUCACACCUUACUUUCAGAGCCUGUGACUAUAUUUUCCUGGAAUGGUAAGAAGGACUUUGGCAGUAUGAGUCAGCUAAGGUUCUUGAGAUGGGAGGAUCCCUGGGGCCUCCUGAAUACUCAGCAAAAAGUGGCUCUACCUGGUAAGUACCCUAAUCAGAGGGAUGCAGGGGGAGUCAGGCAGAAGAUGGAAGGAAGAGAGGGAAGGAGGAAAAGACUAGGGGUGAGGGGUGAUGGUGGUGGGGCACUACUGGCUUUGAAAGGAAGGAAGAUGGUCUCUGGAUCUGCAAAGAGCCAUGAAGGAACAGCCUUGAUGACUGUAGAAGACAUGGCAGCCAGUUCCCAAUGGUGCUGGGGACUCCUUGUCCCUCUGAUUUAGAAGAAACCAUCUCUUCACAGAGGUCAGUCCUUCUGUUGGGCUGCUCUCGGGUCUGGUGCCAACCUGAGGCAGGUGGUCAGCUAUAGAUCUGAGUGGAUGAGAGCCUACCCCUCAAAGGGCCAUAGUUCCAGGACCUCAGCCAGGUGCCCUGGUACCUAGAACUUCCACAUGGCUUAAUUUAUUGGCUGUGGAUACUGCCUGCUAUGGGUGUUGGUAAGGUAAGGUGUGGUGUGUGUUGGGGGCAGGAUCAAUGUCCAUUGUCUUCCUAAGUUACUCUCCAUCUUAUUGAUUUAUUAGAGACAGGAUCUCCCUCUAUAUAUGAGUUCACAGAUUCUCCUACCCGGUCGCUUUCCUCUUCAUCUCCACAGCACUGGAAUUAUAUGUCUGUGUCUUUUACUGGGUCCUGGUGGCUAAAGCCUGGGUUCUCAUGCUCACUUGCUCUGCAGAGGAGGGGGGUCAGUCAGGCCAGCCUUCCUCCCCCUCCUUCCCAGCUCUUCGGCUGUCUGACUGUGUAGCCUCAAUCCCUUCAACUCCAGUCUCCUUCACUGCAGAGAGGGCACAACCGCAGCCUCCCAAGAUUGCUGCGGGGGCUGAGGCAUGAAACAUAAAGAAGAUGGCUUCCUUACUCCCAAAAGCCCUACUUCACUUCAACAACGCAUGUUAUCAUUGCCUGCUUGUGAGGAAGCUCCGGUCAUAUCAUUCAGAAUGAUAAACUAAACUCCUGGCAAGGGACCGAAUGUCUCGGGUAUGAUGAAGGUCACCCACUGAAGACUACCUGGACAAUAAUUCCGAGAGUUCAGAGGACUUUGGUCAGAACAAACACAAGCAAUGAGUUUUGUGAUUCCCCUCCACUCCAACUCCCUCCCUAGCCCUGUCUAGGUCAGAGCACCUAGAAACCAUAAUCAUGUGCCCUGAAAACGAAACUCAUUCGGUUCCCCAUCCAUCCUUCCUUUGGCUCUCCCACCAAAGUAAAAAGGCAGGCCGAAGAA